GGUUGCAACAUCCCCGUGGAUUGGGUGACGGUUUGUAACGGGCCGUCAUAGCGAAUUCACUGCAACU
rnacentral:sRNA from 12 species